AGCUCUCAAAGUGCAUAGAAUUAUUGCUGCGGUUAAAAAGCUCGUAGUUGGAUCUGUGCCAUAGGCCGGGGUCCACCCUCACGGGUGCGUACUCUUGUUUGCCUAGGCUUUUUGUCGGUUUUCCCGUCGUCGGCCUUCGUUGGUUAGCGGCGGGUGGCUGGCGAGUUUACUUUGAGAAAAUCAGAGUGCUCAAUACAGGCGUUUUGCUUGAAUGAUUGUGCAUGGAAUAAUAGAAAAGGAUUUCGGUCCUCUUUUAUUGGUUUUGUGGACUGAGAUAAUGGUUAACAGGGACAAACGGGGGCAUUCGUAUCGCUGCGUGAGAGGUGAAAUUCUUGGACCGUAGCGAGACGCCCUACUGCGAAAGCAUUUGCCAAGAAUGUCUUCA
rnacentral:rRNA from 1 species